rnacentral:rRNA from 1 species
CCUGGUUGAUCCUGCCAGUAGUCAUAUGCUUUUCUCAAAGAUUAAUCCAUGCAUGUCUAAUCUGAACUAAUUCAAACUGUAAAACUGCGAAUGGCUCAUUAAAUCAUUUAUAGUUUCUUUGAUGGUACCCUACUACUUGGAUAAUCAUAGUAAUUCUAGAGAUAAUACAUGCACCAAGUCCCGACUCUUUGGAAGGGAGGAAUUUAUUAGAUAAACUAUUGGCAUGGGCUUGCCCGCUUCUCUGGUGAAUCAUGAUAACUUGACGAAUUGAAAAUCCCUUGUGUUGGUGAUGCUUCAUUCAAAUUUAUGCCCUAUCAACUUUUGAUGGUAGAAUAGAGGCCUACCAUGGUGGUGACAGGUGACGAAGAAUUAGGGUUUGAUUCCAGAGAGGGAUCCUGAGAAAUGACUACCACAUCCAAGGAAGGCAACAAGCGCCUAAAUUACCCAAUCCUGACAUGGGGAGGUAGUGACAAUAAAUAACAAUACUGGGUUCAUUGAGUCUGGUAAUUGGAAUGAGUACAAUAUAAAUACCUUAAUGAGGAUCCAUUGGAGGGAAAUUCUGGUGCCAACAACUACGGUAAUUCCAUCUCUAAUAGAGUAUAUUUAAGUUGUUGCAGUUAAAAAUCUUGUAGUUGGAUCUUGGGUUGUAAAGUUCGGUCCACCUACUCGAUGUGCACCUGCCCUUCUGUCCCUUUUGUCAGUGGCAUGCUCCUGGCCUUAAUUGUCUAGGUCGUAGUUCCAACAUUGUUACUUUGAAAAAAUUAGAGUGCUCAAAGAAAGCUUAUCCUCUGAAUACAUUAGCAUUGAAUAACAUGAUAGGAGUCUAGUCCUAUUGUGUUGGCCUUCGGGACCAGAGUAAUGAUUAAUAGGGAUUGUCGGGGGCAUUCGUAUUUCAUUAUCAGAGAUGAAAUUCUUGGAUUUAUGAAAGACAAACCACUCUGAAAUCAUUUUCCAAGGAUGUUUUCAUUAAUAAAGAAUGAAAGUUGGGGGCUCAAAGAUGAUCAGAUACCUUCCUAGUCUCAACCAUAAAUGAUGUUGACUAGGGAUCGACAGAUGUUUCUCUAAGGACUCUACCAACACCUUCUGAGAAAUUAGAGUGUUUGGGUUCUGGGGGGAAUAUGGUCGCAAGGAUGAAAAUUAAAGGAAUUGGCAGAAGGGCGCCGCCAGGAGUGGAGCCUGCAGCUUAAUUUGACUCAACACAGGAAAACUUACCCGAUCCAUACAUAGUAAGAAUUGACAGAUUGAGAGAUCUUUCUUGAUUUUAUGGGUGGUGGUGCAUGGUUGUUCUUAUUUGGUGGAGCAAUUUUUCUGAUUGAUUCCGAUAAAGAACAAGACCUCAGCCUACUAACUAGCUACGCAGAGAUUCCCCUUCAUGACCAUCUUCUUAGAGGGACUAUGGUCGUUUAGUCCAUGGAAAUUUGAGGCAAUAAUAGGUCUGUGAUGACAUUAGAUGUUCUAGUCUACACACACGCUACACUGAUGCAGUCAACAAGUUUUUCUCCCUAGUUCGAGAGGAUUGGGAAAUAUUCUCAAAUUGCAUUGUGAUGGGGAUAGACCAUUGCAAUUAUUGGUCUUCAACAAGGAACUCCUAAUAAAAUCGUGCUGACUAGGUCACUGCCCCUUAUACACACCGCCCAUCGCUCCUACUGAUUGAAUGAUCCGGUGAAGUGUUCAGAUCACGUCAAUGAGGUUGGUGUUAGUGAUCAAAAUGAAUUGGUAUUUUGAUGAAUGUUUUCAUCACUCUUCACUUGAUUUAUUG